UACGUAGGGUGCAAGCGUUAAUCGGAAUUACUGGGCGUAAAGCGUGCGCAGGCGGUUAUGUAAGUCAGAUGUGAAAUCCCCGGGCUCAACCUGGGAACUGCAUUUGAGACUGCGUGGCUAGAGUGUGUCAGAGGGGGGUAGAAUUCCACGUGUAGCAGUGAAAUGCGUAGAUAUGUGGAGGAAUACCGAUGGCGAAGGCAGCCCCCUGGGAUAACACUGACGCUCAUGCACGAAAGCGUGGGCAGCAAACAGG
rnacentral:rRNA from 1 species